GACGAACGCUGGCGGCGUGCUUAACACAUGCAAGUCGAACGGAAAGGCCCCUUUGGGGGUCCUCGAGUGGCGCACGGGUGAGUAACACGUGAGUAACCUGCCCUUGACUUCGGGAUAACUUCAGUAAACUGGGGCUAAUACCGGAUAGGAAUCCUUGCUGCAUGGUGGGGGUUGGAAAGCUUCGGCGGUUUUGGAUGGACUCGCGGCUUAUCAGCUUGUUGGUGGGGUAGUGGCUUACCAAGGCUUUGACGGGUAGCCGGCCUGAGAGGGCGACCGGCCACAUUGGGACUGAGAUACGGCCCAGACGCCGACGGGAGGAAGAAGGGGGGAAGAUUGCACAAGGGGCGGAAGCCGGAUGCAGAAACGCCGCGUGCGGGAUGACGGCCUUCGGGUUGGAAACCGCUUUCAGCAGGGGCGAAGCUUGUGGUGACGGUACCUGCAGAAGAAGCACCGGCUAACUACGUG
rnacentral:rRNA from 1 species